rnacentral:lncRNA from 1 species
UGGCGAUAUAUUUUUAUUCUAGCCCCCACCCCACCCGACCAUAAAAAUGAAAUGGAACCUAUACAUGCCAUAUUUCCUAAAGUUAGGACCAUCCUAAGACCAUCUUAAGACACCUAAAUUGGUGUCCUAAAGUUAUGACAAUUCCUAGGAUUUUCCUAAGUUGCGACAUGUUUGAUAAACCCGCAUAGGACUAAGAUAUGUCCUAAGUUGGUCUUAGGACACGUCCUAAUCCUAAGAGAGCUUCGAUAAACAGGCCCC